rnacentral:rRNA from 1 species
UACGUAGGUGGCGAGCGUUGUCCGGAUUUACUGGGCGUAAAGGGAGCGUAGGCGGAUUUUUAAGUGGGAUGUGAAAUCCCCGGGCUCAACCCGGGGGCUGCAUUCCAAACUGGAAAUCUAGAGUGUCGGAGAGGAAAGCAGAAUUCCUAGUGUAGCGGUGAAAUGCGUAGAGAUUAGGAAGAAUACCAGUGGCGAAGGCGGCUUUCUGGACGAUAACUGACGCUGAGGCUCGAAAGCGUGGGGAGCAAACAGG